UUGAACGCAUAUUGCGCAUCGGACGUUUCAACCCGACCGAUGCACACAUCCUUGAGU
rnacentral:rRNA from 1 species